GAACAGAAACUGAACUUGCUGCAGCUGGAAGCUACUGCAGAGACUUAUACAGUUCACUGAGGACACACACACACACACACACACACACACACACAUUUUUAUUUUACUAUGUUCCUGGUGAUCUGUGAUUGACAUUGGUUUCCCUAACCCAACCAUUACAACUGAAUUUGUACUCCUAACUCUAAAACCAAGUCUUAACCUUCAAAGAGACAUUUAAACAUGCAAGGUUCAGCAUGUUGGUUGUUGGCUUCCAGUUUUCACACCCCAUAAAUAUAGAAAAACAAGCAAAAAUUCAUUGUGAACAGAAAAACUGUUGUUUAUUGAUUUGACUGGAGUUAUUCAGCAAUGUCAAAAUGUACACUAAUGUAUCAUCUGCAAACACAGAAAUAAAAUCAAUUUGAUGUUGCUUAUUCAACACCAGCAGCACAUGAAGUUUAACCCCAGGAUGGAUUCUUGUGGGACGCCAAAACUAUUAUUGAUAGUAGUUGAUGAGUGUUGACCAAGUGAGACAACAUCAUCUCUGCCUGACAGAUGAGAACUGAACCAGUUUAACACAAGAAAACAUCCACAGUAUAAGUUUCACUAUAUUGUUGUUGAAAUUAUCAGUGACAAUAUUUUAAUGUAAAGGUAUAAUACUGAUAAUAUCUUAUAGUCUGUUUAACCUUUGGUUGUUAUCUCUGUGCUGCAGUGAGUCAAAGAGCUGAAACUGACUUCAUGUAAAAAGUAGGUAAUUGCAGAAAAAUGACUUUUGAAUUUAAGAUACCGGUAUAUUCCCUGUAACUGGGUGUUCUAUUUGAUUAGACAUCUAAUGUGACACAGUUUUCUUGGCCUUUCACCUGCAUUGUAUUUAUUGACGUGUCAUUUUUAUGCUGUUUUUAUCUCUGUGAGGAUGAUUUAAACAGUCAGUGCUCCCAGCAUUGAGUGGGAGACAGCCUGAUGUGUUGAGGACAGCUACAGUUGACUGACUCUGUGUGUUUGCAUAUCUGUCCUGCCUCUCUGCUCCCAGCCGUUAAGAGGCCAGUGUUGAUCAGUGGCUGUCCAGGCCUUUCAGAGCCACUGACACACCAGCAGCACAAUCAUGAUGUCUCUGACUCUACUGCUGGCCACCCUGGGGCUCCUUGUUCAGGGUUCAUCAGGAGAAAUCACCCUGACUCAGAUUCCUGGAUCUCAGUCUGUUGUUCCAGGACAGACGGUCUCUAUCAGAUGUAAAGCCAGUUCAAGUGUUAGUAGCUACCUCCACUGGUACCUUCAGAAACCUGGAGAAGCUCCUAAACUCCUGAUUAGAUAUGCUACAACUCGUCAGUCUGGAGUUUCAGAUCGUUUUAGUGGAAGUGGAUCUGGGACUGACUUCACUCUGACCAUCAGUAGAGUCCAGACUGAAGAUUCAGGAGUUUACUACUGUCAGCAGGGUAACAGCUUCCCGUUCACACAGUGAUACAACGUCGUAC